rnacentral:rRNA from 1 species
UGAGGAACAUGACCUUCGGCGGGGGAUAGCCGGCCCAACGGCCGGGUAAUACCGCGUACGACCACAUGGGGACAUCCCUGAGUGGUGAAAGCAGCAAUGCGCCGAUGGAGUGCCUCGCGGCCUAUCAGCUAGUUGGUGAGGUAACGCUCACCAAGGCGACGACGGGUAGCUGGUCUGAGAGGAUGGCCAGCCACAGUUGGGACUGAGACACGGCCCAGACCUCGUACGGGGAGG